GCCAUUGAGGAGCAUUUACUCAGUGAGUACAAGAGGUUUGUUUGAAACAGACCGCAAUGGAGAGAUCAGCGCCCAGGGAAGCGAGGGAACAGCAGGCUCCUUCCAGCAGCACAUCGGGAUGGGAGCCUGGGACACAGAGGGGGCUCCGAGACCGGGAUUGAUUCGGGGCAAAUGUUUGAUGGACCAAUCCAAGGGUGACCAGCUGCUUCUCACACCCAGCAGACAAUUGCUUGAAGGACCAAGAUAGUGUAACACGUCCUCAGUACAAAGCCAACUGUGAUCAGUUCCUUCUAACAAACAGAGUCUGUCACAUCUGAGCAGAGUUUUGAAGGACAAUAAGCUGUAUCCACAGCCCCAUUGAUAGCACAGACUGGCAGGUACAGAGUACUUCCCAAGAACACAAAUCUUACCAGUGAAUGGAAGAAACAAGAUGAGUUCUGCACUCACAGAAGAACAAACAGUUGCAGACUGUUUGUGUAAUGAAGGAAUUGAAGGAAACUGUUCAUUUCUGGACAGAACAAAGAGUGAGACAGUGCCAAUACACAGUGGGUACAGAAUAACUUACAAAGUGCAGAAAUACUGUCAGGUCAAUAGGUCUGUUGGGGAAAAAAUAGAAAAGACAUGUACUCAAAGAGGUCUCAGUUGGGAGAAUUAGCAUUUUAUUAAACAAGUUAUCCAGGACAGUGUGAGAGUGUGUCAGCCCCAAUGUACAAAUGAACUUCCUAUGGAUUUUAAAUGCAUGUUAUCAACUUGGUCAAAAAGUAAGUUCUACUUGUUUAUUAGAAAAUACUGAACCUACUGCAUAUUCACAAUGUAUUACAAUUAAGAGGGAAAGAAAUAAGUAAAAAUCCAGACUAAUUAUUCAUCCAGUUAUCUCACCAUGGCUUAAACAUGCUGUCUGACUCUCUGACUGUAUCUAAUUCUUGUUGUCCAAACUGGAGGAAUUAAAUAGCAGGCCAAGUGCCAGAUUGAAACAAAUAUUGCAAUCUAAUUUGUUUCCACAAGGAGAAAGCAGAAUACAUC